UACAGAGGGUGCAAGCGUUAAUCGGAAUUACUGGGCGUAAAACGUGCGCAGGCGGUUAUGUAAGACAGAUGUGAAAUGCCCGGGCUUAACCUGGGAACUGCAUUUGUGACUGCAUGGCUAGAGUUUGGCAGAGGGGGGUAGAAUUCCACGUGUAGCAGUGAAAUGCGUAGAUAUGUGGAGGAACACCGAUGGCGAAGGCAGCCCCCUGGGUCAAGACUGACGCUCAUGCACGAAAGCGUGGGGAGCAAACAGG
rnacentral:rRNA from 1 species